CCUCUGAGCAGGUACAUGAAGGAGUUUCUAGACUGGAUGAAGUGACUUGAGAAGUCCCACCUUAAAUGUGGGGGUUACGGCCUGGAUUAAAGGAAUGAGGACUGGCUAUGGGCAUUCAUCUUGCUUGGUUUCAUGACUGAGGUGGAAGUGUGACCAGCCUCCUGCCAUCCUGCCUUCCCUGCCCUGAUGGACUAUGACUUCAAACUGUGAGCCAAGGGAACCCUUCCCUUCCUAAGUUCCCUUUGUCAGACACUCUGUCACGACAAGAGAAAGAAAUAAUCCAAAAAAUACAUUUAAGUAUUUAAGGAAGAUCAUUUCCUUAAACCAUGAAGAACAACCACAGAAUGUUAAUUAAGUGAGCAGAAAAAUGAGUGAAGACUGUAAACUCGUCAUCAAAAUGCUCUCGCAUCUGUACUGAAGCAGACUUGCCACAAAUGGGGCUUAUAAGUAGGAUUUUGGGGUGCUUCUGAUCUACCCCUGUUCCUUCACAGAGUAGCACUGUAGCAGAAUUCUGACGCUUCCUACUGCCGGGGAAACAACACCCAUGUUUAAAAGCCGCCAAGACGAUGAAUCCCAAAGAACAGAACUUGAGUACUCUGUGUGCCCUGCAUGACUUUAUAGGUUCAAAACUCGAUUUUGAGAGGUACAUAAAGGAGCACUCAGAGAGCAGAGGUUGGCCCGGGACAUGAGAACAGGAGCUGCCUUGGGGACACAGCAUUUCUGUGAAUGUCCUUCCUGUCACCACAGCUCUAUUCGCUGACAAAAGCCCUGCUGUUUCCAACCAAUGGCAGGUCCAGCACAAUGCACUUCACCAGGGCGGCAGUUCUGCAAAGCAGGCAAAACAAUUACUGGGAUGGAACCGGGCAGGAAACCCACUUCCUUUAUCCUUGGCAUCGAGAUGAAAAGAGGGACGGGCGGACGGUGAAAGGCCGGGCAUUCGGGCUGAUCCAUGCUGUCACCUCUUGUUACCUGCAUGAAAGAAGGGGAUUGUUUGGGUUUGAGGUCUGGACAGGCAUCUUGAUUUUCCAAACCAGCUGCUGUUCAUCCACAGGCUCGUGGCUGGCCGGAGCCACCUGCCAUAUGUUCCCCUUUAUUCCCUGGUUCGGAUCACGAUGUAUACGGCUUUUAGCUUGA